GAAGGGUUAGUUAAACUAUAACAUUGCCUUGUCAAGACAAAAUUAUAAGUGAAAUUCUUGUACCCCUCU
rnacentral:tRNA from 1 species